GACGAACGCUGGCGGCGUGCUUAACACAUGCAAGUCGAACGCUGAAGCUUGGUGCUUGCACUGGGUGGAUGAGUGGCGAACGGGUGAGUAAUACGUGAGUAACCUGCCCUUGACUCUGGGAUAAGCCUGGGAAACUGGGUCUAAUACUGGAUAUGACAUGCCACUGCAUGGUGGUGUGUGGAAAGGGUUUUACUGGUUUUGGAUGGGCUCACGGCCUAUCAGCUUGUUGGUGGGGUAAUGGCCUACCAAGGCGACGACGGGUAGCCGGCCUGAGAGGGUGACCGGCCACACUGGGACUGAGACACGGCCCAGACUCCUACGGGAGGCAGCAGGGGGGAAUAUUGCACAAUGGGCGGAAGCCUGAUGCAGCGACGCCGCGUGAGGGAUGACGGCCUUCGGGUUGUAAACCUCUUUCAGCACGGAAGAAGCGAGAGUGACGGUACGUGCAGAAGAAGCGCCGGCUAACUACGUG
rnacentral:rRNA from 1 species